GGCGGACGUAGCUCAAUGGUAGAGCACAGCGUUGUUUAAAUAGCGUUUGAUUUCCCGAAGCGGUUGAUUCUCAAAACAGCGUUGAGAUGUGGGUUCGAAUCCCACCGUUGCCA